rnacentral:rRNA from 1 species
UGGCGAACGGGUGAGUAACACGUGGGUGAUCUGCCCUGCACUUUGGGAUAAGCCUGGGAAACUGGGUCUAAUACCAGAUAGGACCAUGCUUUGGAUGGUGUGGUGGAAAGUUUUUUCGGUGUGGGAUGAGCUUGCGGCCUAUCAGCUUGUUGGUGGGGUAAUGGACUACCAAGGCGUCGACGGGUAGCCGGCCUGAGAGGGUGUACGGCCACAUUGGGACUGAGAUACGGCCCAG